rnacentral:rRNA from 1 species
UACAUGGGGUGCAAACGUUGCUCGGAAUUAUUGGGCGUAAAGCGCGCGUAGGCGGUUACUUAAGUCGGAUGUGAAAGCCCUCGGCUUAACUGAGGAAGUGCAUCCGAAACUGAGUAGCUAGAGUACGAAAGAGGGUCGCGGAAUUCCCGGUGUAGAGGUGAAAUUCGUAGAUAUCGGGAGGAACACCAGUGGCGAAGGCGGCUCUCUGGGCCCUACCUGACGCUGAGACGCGAAAGCGUGGGGAGCGAACCGG